GCAAGUCGAACGGUAACAUCAGAGCUUGACUAGCUGACGAGUGGCGCACGGGUGCGUAACGCGUAUACAAUCUGCCUAUUACUGGGGAAUAGCCCGAAGAAAUUUGGAUUAAGCCCCCAUAGUAUUGAGAUAAGGCAUCUUAUUUCAAUUAAAACCACGGUGGUAAUAGAUGAGUAUGCGUCCUAUUAGUUAGUUGGUAAGGUAACGGCUUACCAAGACUUCGAUAGGUAGGGGUCCUGAGAGGGAGAUC
rnacentral:rRNA from 1 species